CACGUAGGGCGCAAGCGUUGUCCGGAAUCAUUGGGCGUAAAGCGCGUGUAGGCGGCUUGGUAAGUCCGUUCUGAAAGCCCGGGGCUCAACCCCGGGAGGCGGAUGGAUACUGUCAAGCUUGAGUCCGGAAGAGGCGAGUGGAAUUCCCGGUGUAGCGGUGAAAUGCGCAGAUAUCGGGAGGAACACCAAUGGCGAAGGCAGCUCGCUGGGACGUGACUGACGCUGAGACGCGAAAGCGUGGGGAGCAAACAGG
rnacentral:rRNA from 1 species